rnacentral:rRNA from 1 species
UACGAGGGGGGCGAGCGUUGUUCGGAAUUAUUGGGCGUAAAGGGUGCGUAGGCGGUUUGGUAAGUCUGAUGUGAAAUCUAUGGGCUCAACUCAUAGUCUGCAUCGGAAACUGCCGUGCUUGAGUGUGGGAGAGGUGCGUGGAUUCCGGAUCGGUAGCGGUGAAAUGCGUAGAUAUCGGGAGGAACACCUGUGGCGAAAGCGGCGCACUGGACCACAACUGACGCUGAGGCGCGAAAGCUAGGGGAGCAAACAGG